AUUGAACGCUGGCGGCAGGCCUAACACAUGCAAGUCGAACGGUAACAGGAAGAAGCUUGCUUCUUUGCUGACGAGUGGCGGACGGGUGAGUAAUGUCUGGGAAACUGCCUGAUGGAGGGGGAUAACUACUGGAAACGGUAGCUAAUACCGCAUAACGUCGCAAGACCAAAGAGGGGGACCUUCGGGCCUCUUGCCAUCGGAUGUGCCCAGAUGGGAUUAGCUAGUAGGUGGGGUAACGGCACACCUAGGCGACGAUCCCUAGCUGGUCUGAGAGGAUGACCAGCCACACUGGAACUGAGACACGGUCCAGACUCCUACGGGAGGCAGCAGUGGGGAAUAUUGCACAAUGGGCGCAAGCCUGAUGCAGCCAUGCCGCGUGUAUGAAGAAGGCCUUCGGGUUGUAAAGUACUUUCAGCGGGGAGGAAGGGAGUAAAGUUAAUACCUUUACUCAUUGACGUUACCCGCAGAAGAAGCACCGGCUAACUCCGUG
rnacentral:rRNA from 1 species